rnacentral:rRNA from 1 species
UCGGGAAUUUUGGGCAAUGGGGGAAACCCUGACCCAGCAACGCCGCGUGAAGGAUGAAGUAUUUCGGUAUGUAAACUUCGAAAGAAUAGGAAGAAUAAAUGACGGUACUAUUUAUAAGGUCCGGCUAACUACGUGCCAGCAGCCGCGGUAAUACGUAGGGACCAAGCGUUGUUCGGAUUUACUGGGCGUAAAGGGCGCGUAGGCGGCAUGACAAGUCACUUGUGAAAUCUCCGGGCUUAACUCGGAACGGUCAGAUGAUACUGCUUUGCUAGAGUGCAGAAGGGGCAAUCGGAAUUCUUGGUGUAGCGGUGAAAUGCGUAGAUAUCAAGAGGAACACCUGAGGUGAAGACGGGUUGCUGGGCUGACACUGACGCUGAGGCGCGAAAGCCAGGGGAGCAAACGGGAUUAGAUACCCAAGUAGUCCCUGAGCGGGCUGGCAAGGCGCAU